AUGGCUGGCCGUGCCGGUCCCCGUCGGUCGCUGCUCCGAAUCCAGGCCGCCCACCGCCCCGCCCCCGUCAGCCCGGUCUAUUUCCCACCGGAUCCCAUCUUCGCCGCCGUCCGACACGCCUUCUUCAAGGAGCUGCGACCCCAUGUCUCAGAGGAGCUAGCCCCGACGCCAUUGAUGCCCGAGCGACGCUCCCAAGCUAGGAGCGGCACCAGGACGACCACGCCCCCGAAGCCUAAACUGCAAGGUGAGCUCGUCCCCUUCUCUUCUUCCCUAUAA
rnacentral:rRNA from 1 species